rnacentral:rRNA from 1 species
GACGAACGCUGGCGGCGUGCUUAACACAUGCAAGUCGAACGGAGUGGCGAACGGGUGAGUAUUACGUGAGUAACCUGCCCUCGACUGUGGGAUAAGCCUGGGAAACUGGGUCUAAUACUGCAUAGUUGGGGAUGGGCUCGCGGCCUAUCAGCUUGUUGGUGGGGUGAUGGCCUACCAAGGCGGUGACGGGUAGCCGGCCUGAGAGGGUGGUCGGCAAUAUGGGGACGGAGAGACGGCCCAGGCUCGUACGGGAGGCAGAAAUGGGGGAUAUUGGGCAAUGGGGGCAAGCCUGAUGCGGCGACGCCGAGUUGGGGAUGAAGUCUUUCGGGUUGUAAACCUCUUUCGGUACAGUACGGGUAUGUGCAGAAGAAGCGCCGGCUAACUACGUGCCAGCAGCCGCGGUAAUAC